rfam:Microgenomates (Woesebacteria) bacterium GW2011_GWC1_43_10b TV56_C0015, whole genome shotgun sequence.
GGGCCCGUAGCUCAAUGGUAGAGCAACACCCUUUUAAGGUGAUGGUUGAGCGUUCGAUCCGCUCCGGGCUCA